AACACCAAGGUUGCUUGUUUCUAAAUAAUGUUUAAGUCCAUGAACAGCUUUUUGCUAAUGUUUGGAGCAACUGAUAAAAUACAUCAAGCAAAGAAAAGUGUGGACACAUUCAUGCACACUGGAGAAGUAGCAGAGUGGUUUAAUUUUGUGUUGGAGAAUCAAAGGCCAGAAUGAAAGGCAGUUUUUACAUCCCAAAGGAAAAUUCCCAUUCAGAAAGACAUUGAUGGCUUUUUUAGCGGCAUCCAUUCAUCUGCUCUGCAAAGGCAUGGGGACAUGUGAUUUUGAGAGUACCGACUCUACUCCCAAUGCAUGGCAGUCAUGUAUAAUAAUUUAGGGGACAGUGACUCCAUUCACAGUUCCAGAGGUAAACACCCCUCCAAUUGACGAAACCAAUCAGAAAAUCCUACUCUUGCAUAGGACUGUUUCAGAGAUGGGCACAAAUCUCAUCCUAAGCCAAUCAGAGCACGGCACUUCCCUCGGCCAUGGCGAUUGAUUCAGAGAUGGGCAUGUGACUGGUUUGCUCAGUUAGAGUGAAACCUAGGAUUUUGUCUGAUAGUCGAGGUAAAGACACUUUUCUUCAGGAAGAUGUGGUGUAUGGAACUGUUCCAGACAUUUUGUCACCAUGAUAAAAGUGAGUCUGAAAAGUAAACCAUCAUGUUCAGGAAGGCAAAAUCAAGAGAACUGCAGAGCA
rnacentral:lncRNA from 1 species